rnacentral:ncRNA from 1 species
CUCUUAUUAUGAGUGGCGGAGGGAAUAGGCCCUGUGAAGCCCGGCAACCUAAAAGCAAACAUUUUUGCUUUUUACGGUGCUAAAUCCUACAAACCUAUUAUAAGGUUUGGAAGAUAAGAG